UUGACUUCUCCAGUUUCGGAUUUUCUGUUGCCGAUGUCCCUCAUCACUCACCCAACAAAGUGUGUGACAGUGGUGUUUUCGUUAUGACAUUCCUAGAGCAUUGGAGCGGAAGGUUGGCUGUUCGGCUUACAGAGGAAAAUGUUGGCAAGUAUCGAGUG